rnacentral:rRNA from 1 species
UGGCUGCAGUCGAGAAUCUUUAGCAAUGGACGAAAGUCUGACUAUGCGACGCCGCGUGAGGGAUGAAGGUUUUCGGAUCGUAAACCUCUUUCGAUGGGGAAGAAGUCCGCCAUUUAUCGUGGCGGAUUGACGGUACCUAGAGAAGAAGCCAUGGCCAACUCCGUGCCAGCAGCCGCGGUAAUACGGGGAUGGCGAGCGUUACUCGGAUUUAUUGGGUGUAAAGGGCAGGUAGGUGGCUAUGUAAGUUGUGGGUGAAAUCCUUUGACUCAAUCAAAGAACUGCCUUCAAAACUGCAUAGCUUGAGGCUGAAAGAGGAGAGCGGAAUUCCCGGUGUAAGGGUGAAAUCUGUAGAUAUCGGGAGGAACACCUGUGGCGAAAGCGGCUCUCUGGUUCGGUUCUGACACUCAACUGCGAAAGCUAGGGUAGCAAACAGGAUUAGAUACCCCUGUAGUC